UACAGAGGGGGCAAGCGUUGUUCGGAAUUACUGGGCGUAAAGGGCGCGUAGGCGGCCUGCUAAGUCGAACGUGAAAUCCCUGGGCUCAACCCAGGAACUGCGUCCGAUACUGGUUGGCUUGAAUCCGGGAGAGGGAUGUGGAAUUCCAGGUGUAGCGGUGAAAUGCGUAGAUAUCAGGAGGAACACCGAUGGCGAAGGCAGCUCUCUGGGACGUUACUGACGCUGAGACGCGAAAGCGUGGGGAGCAAACAGG
rnacentral:rRNA from 1 species